GACGAACGCUGGCGGCGUGCUUAACACAUGCAAGUCGAACGGAAAGGCCCUGCUUUUGUGGGGUGCUCGAGUGGCGAACGGGUGAGUAACACGUGAGUAACCUGCCCUUGACUUUGGGAUAACUUCAGGAAACUGGGGCUAAUACCGGAUAGGAGCUCCUGCUGCAUGGUGGGGGUUGGAAAGUUUCGGCGGUUGGGGAUGGACUGGCGGCUUAUCAGCUUGUUGGUGGGGUAGUGGCUUACCAAGGCUUUGACGGGUAGCCGGCCUGAGAGGGUGAACGGCCACAUUGGGACUGAGAGAGGGACCAGACUGGUACGGUAGGCAGCAGUGGGGAAUAUUGCACAAUGGGCGGAAGCCUGAUGCAGCAACGCCGCGUGCGGGAUGACGGCCUUCGGGUUGUAAACCGCUUUCGCCUGUGACGAAGCGUGAGUGACGGUAAUGGGUAAAGAAGCACCGGCUAACUACGUG
rnacentral:rRNA from 1 species